UGGUGGAGUGAUUUGUCUGGUUAAUUCCGUUAACGAACGAGACCUCGACCUGCUAAAUAGUUCGGCGAACGCUUCGGCGUUCGUGCGUGACUUCUUAGAGGGACUAUCGGUGUGUAGCCGGUGGAAGUUCGAGGCAAUAACA
rnacentral:rRNA from 1 species